GUCGAUCCUAAGCUGAGGCCGAAAGGCGUAGGUGAAGGACAAGCAGGUUAAUAUUCCUGCACCACAGGUUGUCGUUAUGAGCGAUGGAGUAGCGGAGAAAGGUAAGUCAACCGAGGUAUUGGUUAUCCCUCGGCCUGCGCCGUAGGUUGUCCAGGCAGGAAAAUCCACUUGGAUAUAACUGAGGGCGUGAGGGGAGCCGCAAGGUGAAGUGACCCAACUAUGCUUCCUAGAAAAACUUCUAGCCAGACAGCUGGUGAUCGUACCGCAAUCCAACACAGGUAGAUAGGGAGAAGACUCCCAAGGCGUUCGAAAGAACUCUGGUCAAGGAACUAGGCAAAAAAGCCCCGUAACUUCGGAAGAAGGGGUACCCCAGGGGUGUGGAAAGGUCUCUUUCCAUAUCUAGCAUGGGGUCACAGGAAAUAGAGUCAGGCGACUGUUUAACAAAAACACAGGUCUGUGCUUAAGUAGGAAUACCACGUAUACAGGCUGACGCCUGCCCAGUGCUGGAAGGUUAAGAGGAGAGGUUAGCGCAAGCGAAGCUUUGAAUCGAAGCCCCAGUGAACGGCGGCCGUAACUCUAACGGUCCUAAGGUAGCGAAAUACCUUGUCGGGUAAGUUCCGACGCGCAUGAAUGGCGUAACGAUCUGACUGCUGUCUCGACCAGAGAUUCGGUGAAAUAGCAGUGCCCGUGAAGAUGCGGGCUACCUGCGGCAGGACGGGAAGACCCCGUAGAGCUUUACUGUACCCUGACAUUGGAAUUUGAUUUGAUCUGUGCAGGAUAGGUGGGAGGCUUUGAAGCCGGAGCGCUAGCUUCGGUGGAGCCAACGUUGAGAUACCACUCUCUUCACAUUAGAUUUCUAACUGACAGCCUUGAAUCAGGCGUCAGGACAAUGCCAGGCGGGCAGUUUGACUGGGGCGGUCGCCUCCUAAAAGGUAACGGAGGCGCCCAAAGGUCUGCUCAGCGUGUUUGGAAACCACGCAAAGAGUGCAAAGGCAUAAGCAGGCUUAACUGCAUAGGUCGACGGACCAAGCAGAUGGGAAACCAGGGCUUAGUGACCCGACGGUUGCGAAUGGAAGCGCCGGAGCUCAACGGAUAAAAGUUACCUCGGGGAUAACAGGCUUAUUGCUCCCAAGCGUUCACAGCGACGGGGCAGUUUGGCACCUCGAUGUCGGCUCGUCUCAUCCUGGGGCUGUAUAAGGUCCCAAGGGUUGGGCUGUUCGCCCAUUAAAGAGGCACGUGAGCUGGGUUCAGAACGUCGUGAGACAGUUCGGUCCUUAUCCGCCGCAGGCGUUGGAGAAUUGAUGGAUGCUGCCCUUAGUACGAGAGGACCAGGGCAGAGGAACCUCUGAUGUACCAGUUAUCACACCAGUGGUAGGCGCUGGGUAGUUAUGUUCCGUUGGAUAAACACUGAAGGCAUCUAAGUGUGAAGCCAUUCCAAAGAUGAGUUCUCCCGCCUCUAGAAGGCAUAAGACCUCCGGAAGACUACCGGGUUGAUAGGCACAAGCUGUAAGCGCAGCAAUGCGUUGAGGUGAUGUGUACUAAUAGGUCGAAGGCUUAGCUU
rnacentral:rRNA from 1 species